rnacentral:RNase_P_RNA from 1 species
GACAGAGGGAGCCCGACUCCCGUGCAUCCGCAUGAGGAAAGUCCCCCCACCGGCCGGACGGGCGACCGGGCUCACGCCCGGAGUCGGAGACGGCUGGCGCUGGAACAGCAACGAGACCCCCCGCCCCGACCGAUGAGGUGCGUCAGGUCGCCAUCGGCGACCGGCGACGUCCGUAGCCUCGCUAUGGCCGUGCGAACCGACUCGUAAGAGGAGGGAGCUAACCCACCGAGGGCCCACGACGGGCGGGAACGGAUGGAACGGCGAAUCCUCGCCGGUGCAAGUCCGUGCCAUCAGGUAGUCCGGCCACGGCGCGGACGCUGAGCCGAAUGUCGGGACGAACCGAAGGGGGCUUACUCCCCUCAGUC